rnacentral:rRNA from 1 species
AGUGAACGCUGGCGGUAGGCCUAACACAUGCAAGUCGAACGGCAGCACAGAGGAGCUUGCUCCUUGGGUGGCGAGUGGCGGACGGGUGAGGAAUACAUCGGAAUCUACUCUGUCGUGGGGGAUAACGUAGGGAAACUUACGCUAAUACCGCAUACGACCUACGGGUGAAAGCAGGGGACCUUCGGGCCUUGCGCGAUUGAAUGAGCCGAUGUCGGAUUAGCUAGUUGGCGGGGUAAAGGCCCACAAAGGCGACGAUCCGUAGCUGGUCUGAGAGGAUGAUCAGCCACACUGGAACUGAGACACGGUCCAGACUCCUACGGGAGGCAGCAGUGGGGAAUAUUGGACAAUGGGCGCAAGCCUGAUCCAGCCAUACCGCGUGGGUGAAGAAGGCCUUCGGGUUGUAGAGCCCUUUUGUUGGGAAAGAAAUCCAGCUGGCUAAUACCCGGUUGGGAUGACGGUACCCAAAGAAUAAGCACCGGCUAACUUCGUGCCAGCCGCCGCAGUAA